rnacentral:tRNA from 2 species
GCCCUUGUAGCUCAGUUGGUAGAGCACCUGAUUUGUAAUCAGGGGGUCGUCGGUUCGAAUCCGGCCGGGGGCACCA